rnacentral:rRNA from 1 species
UACGAAGGGGGCAAGCGUUGUUCGGAAUUACUGGGCGUAAAGGGCGCGCAGGCGGCCAUUCAAGUCAGAUGUGAAAGCCCCGGGCUCAACCUGGGAAUAGCAUUUGGGACUGGGUGGCUAGAGUUCGGGAGAGGAGAGUGGAAUUCCCAGUGUAGAGGUGAAAUUCGUAGAUAUGGGGAGGAACACCGGUGGCGAAGGCGGCCAUCUGGACGGAUACUGACGCUGAGACGCGAAAGCGUGGGGAGCAAACAGG